rnacentral:tRNA from 1 species
UCCCCUGUAGCUCAGUUGGCUAGAGCGUCGUACGUCUGACAAUCUGAAGGUCGCAAGUUCAAACCUUGUCGGGGGAG